rnacentral:tRNA from 1 species
GCGGGUGUAGCUCAGUGGUAGAGCGUCAGCUUCCCAAGCUGAAUGUCGUCGGUUCGAUCCCGAUCACCCGCU